rnacentral:rRNA from 1 species
UUGAUCCUGGCUCAGAAUCAACGCUGGCGGUGUGCCUAACACAUGCAAGUCGAACGAGAAAGUGGAGCAAUCCAUGAGUAAAGUGGCGACCGGGUGAGUUACACGUGACUAACCUACCUUCGAGUGGGGGAUAACCUCGGGAAACCGGGUCUAAUACCGCAUAACAUCUUUGGAGUGGAAAUUCUGGAGAUCAAAGGAGUAAUUCGCUGGAAGAGGGGGUCGCGGCUGAUUAGCUAGUUGGCGGGGUAAUGGCCCACCAAGGCUUAGAUCGGUAGCCGGCCUGAGAGGGCGCACGGCCAUACUGGAACUGAAACACGGUCCAGACUCCUACGGGAGGCAGCAGUGGGGAUUUUUGCGCAAUGGGGGAAACCCUGACGCAGCAACGCCGCGUGGAGGAUGUAGUCCCUUGGGACGUAAACUCCUUUCGACCCGGACGAUAAUGACGGUACUGGUGGAAGAAGCCCCGGCUAACUUCGUGCCAGCAGCCGCGGUAAUAAGGU